CGUCAAUGAAUUGCCAUUGCUAAUACCAAUACAACAGACUGUGUCCCUUGACCUAACUCUGGAUGUAAAUAAGUUAACUUCACCUUUUGGACAUGGUGUGUGGAGACCUGAGAUGA